AGUGAACGCUGGCGGCAGGCCUAACACAUGCAAGUCGAACGGCAGCACGGCAGUAGCAAUACUGUGGGUGGCGAGUGGCGGACGGGUGAGGAAUACAUCGGGAUCUACCCUGUUGUGGGGGAUAACGUAGGGAAACUUACGCUAAUACCGCAUAAGAACUGAGGUUGAAAGCGGCGGACCGCAAGGCGUCGCGCGAUUGGAUGAACCGAUGUCCGAUUAGCUAGUUGGCGGGGUAAAGGCCCACCAAGGCGACGAUCGGUAGCUGGUCUGAGAGGACGACCAGCCACACUGGAACUGAGACACGGUCCGGACUCCUACGGGAGGCAGCAGUGGGGAAUAUUGGACAAUGGGCGCAAGCCUGAUCCAGCCAUGCCGCGUGGGUGAAGAAGGCCUCGGUGUAAGACCUUUGUCCGAAGAAAGACAUCG
rnacentral:rRNA from 1 species